rnacentral:rRNA from 1 species
GAUGAACGCUGGCGGCGUGCUUAACACAUGCAAGUCGAACGAGAAGUGGAGACGGACACCCUCGGGCGGAAGACUUUAUUUCGAGUGGCGGACGGGUGAGUAACGCGUGGGUAACCUGCCUCAUACAGGGGGAUAACAGUUGGAAACGACUGUUAAUACCGCAUAAGACCACAGCACCGCAUGGUGCGGGGGUAAAAACUCCGGUGGUAUGAGAUGGACCCGCGUUCGAUUAGCCAGUUGGCGGGGUAACGGCCCACCAAAGCGACGAUCGAUAGCCGAUCUGAGAGGAUGACCGGCCACAUUGGGACUGAGGCACGGCCCAAACUCCUACGGGAGGCAGCAGUGGGGAAUAUUGCACAAUGGGGGAAACCCUGAUGCAGCGACGCCGCGUGAGUGAAGAAGUAUUUCGGUAUGUAAAGCUCUAUCAGCAGGGAAGAAAAUGACGGUACCUGAGUAAGAAGCCCCGGCUAACUACGUG